CGGAUGUGAAAUCCCCGGGCUCAACCUGGGAACUGCAUUCGAAACUGGCAGGCUAGAGUCUUGUAGAGGGGGGUAGAAUUCCAGGUGUAGCGGUGAAAUGCGUAGAGAUCUGGAGGAAUACCGGUGGCGAAGGCGGCCCCCUGGACAAAGACUGACGCUCAGGUGCGAAAGCGUGGGGAGCAAACAGGAUUAGAUACCCUGGUAGUCCACGCCGUAAACGAUGUCGAUUUGGAGGUUGUGCCCUUGAGGCGUGGCUUCCGGAGCUAACGCGUUAAAUCGACCGCCUGGGGAGUACGGCCGCAAGGUUAAAACUCAAAUGAAUUGACGGGGGCCCGCACAAGCGGUGGAGCAUGUGGUUUAAUUCGAU
rnacentral:rRNA from 1 species